GACGAACGCUGGCGGCGUGCUUAACACAUGCAAGUCGAACGGAAAGGCCCUUCUUUUGUGGGGUGCUCGAGUGGCGAACGGGUGAGUAACACGUGAGUAACCUGCCCUUGACUUUGGGAUAACUUCAGGAAACUGGGUCUAAUACCGGAUAGGAGCUCCUGCUGCAUGGUGGGGGUUGGAAAGUUUCGGCGGUUGGGGAUGGACUCGCGGCUUAUCAGCUUGUUGGUGGGGUAGUGGCUUACCAAGGCUUUGACGGGUAGCCGGCCUGAGAGGGUGACCGGCCACAUUGGGACUGAGAUACGGCCCAGAGUCCUACGGGAGGCAGCAGUGGGGAAUAUUGCACAAUGGGCGGAAGCCUGAUGCAGCAACGCCGCGUGCGGGAUGAAGGCCUUCGGGUUGUAAACCGCUUUCGCCUGUGACGAAGCGUGAGUGACGGUAAUGGGUAAAGAAGCACCGGCUAACUACGUG
rnacentral:rRNA from 1 species